AGGCUACUUCUAGUAAAGGUGAGUAAAUAAUCAUACUAAAGGACUUUUUCUCCCACAGGGCAGAUUUCACUGAGAGAACUAUAGGACCAUGUCUGAGAUGGCCUUGGAAGUUUAUCCUAUACCUGUAGUUUUAUAUAUAUAUGUACAGCACAUGGAAAUUAUACAAGGUCAGAAGAAAGAGAAGAUGAGAUACCUGUGAAUGCAGUCACCAUGUGAGCUCCCAUCUAUCACUCAGCAUGACUACUUAGGUGAAGGUGACGUGAUUAAAGCCCGGAGGGGAGAAUGUCCGUCCACACAUCAGGGCACCUAGGGAACCAGAUAGCAUCAUUUGUGCCUAAAAGGUCUGCUUGGAGGGACACUGUUUCCACACAGACUUGAACAGGUCCUAAGAAGCUUCUAAGUACUGUCCUUGUCAUUUACUCUGCUUAUCAUUUCUCUAAACCAUUAAAAGUAACAUUAAUGAAUAA